GACGAACGCUGGCGGCGUGCUUAACACAUGCAAGUCGAACGGAAAGGCCCUGCUUUUGUGGGGUGCUCGAGUGGCGAACGGGUGAGUAACACGUGAGUAACCUGCCCUUGACUUUGGGAUAACUUCAGGAAACUGGGGCUAAUACCGGAUAGGAGCUCCUGCUGCAUGGUGGGGGUUGGAAAGUUUCGGCGGUUGGGGAUGGACUCGCGGCUUAUCAGCUUGUUGGUGGGGUAGUGGCUUACCAAGGCUGUGACGGGUAGCCGGCCUGAGAGGGUGGCCGGCCACAUUGGGACUGAGAUACGGAGCAGAAUCCUACGGGAGGCAGCAGUGGGGAAUAUUGCAGAAUGGGCGGGAGCCUGAUACAGCAACGCCGCGAGCGGGAUACCGGCCUUCGGGUUGUAAACCGCUGUCGCCUGUGACGAAGCGUGAGUGACGGUAAUGGGUAAGGAAGCACCGGCUAACUACGUG
rnacentral:rRNA from 1 species